rnacentral:rRNA from 1 species
AACGAACGCUGGCGGCAUGCCUAACACAUGCAAGUCGAACGAGACCUUCGGGUCUAGUGGCGCACGGGUGCGUAACGCGUGGGAAUCUACCCUUGGGUUCGGAAUAACAGUUAGAAAUGACUGCUAAUACCGGAUGAUGACGUAAGUCCAAAGAUUUAUCGCCCAAGGAUGAGCCCGCGUAAGAUUAGCUUGUUGGUGGGGUAAUGGCCUACCAAGGCGACGAUCUUUAGCUGGUCUGAGAGGAUGAUCAGCCACACUGGGACUGAGACACGGCCCAGACUCCUACGGGAGGCAGCAGUGGGGAAUAUUGGACAAUGGGCGCAAGCCUGAUCCAGCCAUGCCGCGUGAGUGAAGAAGGCCUUAGGGUUGUAAAACUCUUUCGCCGGAGAAGAUAAUGACGGUAUCCGGAGAAGAAGCCCCGGCUAACUUCGUGCCAGCCGCCGCGGUAA